rnacentral:rRNA from 1 species
ACGAACGCUGGCGGCGUGCUUAACACAUGCAAGUCGAACGGAGAUAUGAGAAUCAGUUUACUGAAUCUCAUAUCUUAGUGGCGGACGGGUGAGUAACGCGUGGGUAACCUACCCUUAACACCGGGACAACAGCUGGAAACGGCUGCUAAUACCGGAUGAUCUCUUGAUACGGCAUCGUAUUAAGAGGAAAGGUGGCCUCUGUAUAUGCUACCGAUUAAGGAUGGACCCGCGUCUGAUUAGCUAGUUGGUAAGGUAACGGCUUACCAAGGCUUCGAUCAGUAGCCGGCCUGAGAGGGUGACCGGCCACACUGGGACUGAGACACGGCCCAGACUCCUACGGGAGGCAGCAGUGGGGAAUCUUCCGCAAUGGGCGAAAGCCUGACGGAGCAACGCCGCGUGAAUGAAGAAGGCCUUCGGGUCGUAAAGUUCUGUUGAAAGGGAAGAAGUCUCUUUGUGUAAAUAAUGCCAAGAGGUGACGGUACCUUUUGAGGAAGCUCCGGCUAACUACGUG